rnacentral:rRNA from 1 species
UACAGAGGGUGCGAGCGUUGUCCGGAAUCACUGGGCGUAAAGGGCGCGUAGGCGGUUGGAUAAGUCAGCUGUGAAAACCACGGGCUUAACUCGUGGCCUGCAGUUGAGACUGUCUGGCUUGAGUGUGGGAGAGGAGAGUGGAAUUCCGGGUGUAGCGGUGAAAUGCGUAGAUAUCUGGAGGAACAUCGGUGGCGAAGGCGGCAUCCUGGACCGGUAUUGACGCUGAGGCGCGAAAGCCAGGGGAGCAAACGGG